AGAAGCCUAGUGGAUUUCAUGGAGCAGCUUUGGAAAACAUUCUUCUCCUUUUUAGUCAAGGCACAUUCUGGAAACAGAGUAUCUCUCCUGCUAAAAGACCUCCGCAGAAACAUCAUAGCAGAGAUGAGCGCUGUGGAAGCGUGUCGGAUUUUCCAGCAGCCUCUGAAGCCCCUGGGAGCCUCGGUGACUCUGCAGAAAGUGAAGUUGCUGGUCCUGCGUCUGCUUGUCAUCUUUGCAGAAAACCCUCC